UAAGGAUAUACAAAACCACUGGCCAACGAUAUUUCACAAAAGCUGCCUGUACGAUCAUUUUAACACAAUAAUGCAGCUUGGUGUUUAAAAUUUCAAGUCAAACUUUGAAUCAUCUAAAGCCAAAAUAAGAUCGUUUUUUUAAAUUCAAAGUGAAAAGGACGAACUUAUUUUCAUUGCUAUUUCGAAAUACUUCAAGGAGAAGGACGAGCUCCUUUUUUAAUUUUAUAGGUUUGGGACGACAAUUGAAGAAGUUAAAAAUUACAUAAAAGAGCCAACUACCUGGAUUUCUAUUAUUGAUACAUCCCCAGAAGACGCUCUUCAAAAUAUAUCGUUUAUUUUUUUUUUAAAGAGAGAUUACUU